AGCCACCCGCCGCAGCCUCGGCGGAGGCCCGCUCACCUUGCACUUGAAGCCGGCGGCGGGCGGCAGCAGCUCCCGCAGCAGGGCCUUGGCCACCUCGCGGCUGGCCUCCUCGCUCACGAAGUGCAGGUUGGAGCAACACUUCUCUGAAAAACACUGGACCUCUGAAGUAGGCUUGGCAACAAGUUCAAUACGUGCUACUCACCUUGGGGGAAAAAAGCAGAAUUAUCGAACUUUAAUAACAGACCUUCGUUUAGAUGUCACUGCCUCGAGGAGUGGUCUCUAAACACCAAUCCAUCCAGUGUCCAGAUGUGGCACCACCCUCACGGAUCCCAUGAGGGCCACCUAUGAACUGCCCAGUCCCAUCUUUCUGCACUGCAAGAAGGCAAGGCUUCAAAAAACAGGAGUAACCAGAUUCCAUGCAGUAAAAACCACUGAAGCAACCUUGCAAAGGGGGAACUGAGGCCUGCAGUCAACAGUCAUAUGCAUGGUCCUAUCCUGGAACUGGAUCCUCCAGCCCCAGUGAAGCCUUCAAAUGACAGCAGCCCCAGCCAAUAUCUUAUCAGCAAUCUCAUCAAAGACUCUGAGCCAAAGCCACCCAGCUAAGUCUCUCUAAAAAUUCCAGGCCCAGAAACUGAGAUAAUAAAUGUUUGUUGUUUUAAGCCACCGUAUUUUGGGGUAAUCAGUUAUAUGGCAAUAGAUUACUAACACAUUCAUCAACAGGUGAGUGGAUUAACAAAUUGUGAUAUAUCUACACAAUGUA